GGAUCGUGGCUCAGUGGUAGAGCGCCCGCCUAGCAUGGGCGUGACCUGGGUUUGAUUCUCAGCACCA
rnacentral:tRNA from 1 species